ACAACAAUGUAUACCCAUUAUGUCAUUCUUUUUGUGCCUAUGGGGCUUAGGCUUGCUAAAAUCCAGCUCUCUUCUCAUUUUCUCUGUCGAUAGAACGACGACGGCCAUAUCUGCCAAGCCGAAACCCUAACUCUUCCGCUUCACUAACUCUGACACGGAAAACGAAUUUGGAGACAGAGCCAUCUAGGAAGAUAUUCCCAUUGGAGGAGCUUCACUCAGCCACAAACAUGUUUAACUACGACAACAAACUAGGUGAAGGCCGCUUCGGCAGUGUGUAUUGAAGUCAGCUCUCCGAUGGUUCACAAGUAUAUUCAUCUCAAUGCUUCUUCUCAGAAACUUAAACGUCAGGAGACUCAAGGUAUGGAGAAAUAGAGAAGAUAUAGAUUCCGCUACUGAAGUUGAGAUUCGAAAGAAAGUUUUGUGAAAUCAUUGAUCAGAGAUUGAAAGAGUAGAACGUUGAAGAGAAGCUGAGAAGUUUGUCUUGGUGGGACUAAAAUGCGCUCAGAUUGAGCCAAUGUCAUCCCCACUUGAAUCCAAUUCUCUAUUCAAGAAUCCAUAUAGCAGCAAUGAAACUGUAGAGAGCAUCAGAAGGUUGCAGAUGAAAACUUAGACAUGAUCUGAAGUGGUGGAGAUGCUAAUGAAUAAAUCAAAGGAAAAAAUGUCAUCCCCACUUGAAUCCAAUUCUCUAUUAAGGAAUCCAUAUAGCAGCAACGAAACUGUAGAGAGCAUUAUAAGGUUGCAGAUGGAAACUUAGACAUGAUCUCAGAAGAAAAAAAUCAUCAUUAAUAGGUUAUUUUUGGCACAUGACAUUUGUUUUCUCAUAUUAGUUUUACCAUCUUCUCUUAAUUAUACUAACA